UCUGCAACCCGACUCCGUGAAGCUGGAUUCGCUAGUAAUCGCGCAUCAGCCAUGGCGCGGUGAAUACGUUCCCGGGCCUUGUACACACCGCCCGUCAAGCCAUGGGAGCCGGGGGUGCUUGAAGUGCGUCGCCGCAAGGCGCGCCCUAGAGCAAAACCGGUGACUGGGGCUAAGUCGUAACAAGGUACC
rnacentral:rRNA from 1 species